UACAGAGGUCUCAAGCGUUGUUCGGAUUCAUUGGGCGUAAAGGGUGCGUAGGUGGCGUGGUAAGUCUGGUGUGAAAUCCCGGGGCUCAACCCCGGAACUGCACUGGAUACUGCCAUGCUUGAGUACUGGAGAGGAGAUUGGAAUUUACGGUGUAGCAGUGAAAUGCGUAGAUAUCUGGAGGAACACCGGUGGCGAAGGCGGCAUCCUGGACCAGUUCUGACGCUGAGGAGCGAAAGCCAGGGGAGCAAACGGG
rnacentral:rRNA from 1 species